rnacentral:misc_RNA from 1 species
CCCAAUUUUUCUAGUUUCUUUUUAUUCUCCCGAGAACAAGAAGUUUUCGUCAAGGAUAAGGCUGUUUUAUUUGACACAACACUGCACAACACCACGAAACGACUGGACGUAACGCAUGUCCAAAAUUUGUGUCAUUCGUCCUGGACGGUAGGUGAUUGUAUCGUUUCGGAGUUACGGUGUCACCGUUUUCAAGGUCCUGUAAAAAUAUCGCAGUUAUGGGGUUAUUAAUUUCGCGAAUGCAUUCAACACACCGUAAAAAUAGAAUUCGAUUUCGAUGACAGUACGUUCAGCCCGCCAUCUCACGACGACAGCUUUUUUUAUGUACGAUAUCCAAAGACACA